rnacentral:lncRNA from 12 species
AUCUCGGGGCCUGGCGUCAGGCCGUCCUGGCUGCGGGCUUUGCGGGGCGCGGGGGGCGCGGGGGGCGCGGGGCUGGCACUCCGGGGUCCGGGGUCCGGGGUCCGGGGUCCCCGCGCAGCCCCACCGUGCAGGGCGCCCCCCCGGCGCCGGCGCCGGCCCCCGCGAGCGAGCACCCAGCCAGCAGCACGUUAGCCCGAGGACGCCCUGAGCCGUCACCGCCCCGGGCUGGGGGGCGACCCAGGUCCUGGGGGGCCGGGCCAGGGGCCUGCUGGGGGCCGCCCGCCCUACAACCACGGCCGCACCGGCACCAGCGCCCCAAACAGACCGCGGCUCCCCACCGUCAAGAGCGCGGGCCGAGGCCGAGGCCCAGGGGUGCACACCUCGGCCGGGCGUGUCCCGGGCCCCACGAGGGUCCGUGUGCGAGCCCUGGACGCCGCCGCCACCGCCCCUGCAGGCGCCCAGAGGAGGCAGAGAGGAAAACCAAUGCCCCCGAGCAACACGGCCCACGAGAGCGGGACCCGGGAAAGCUGAGCGAGACCACCCACGAGACGUGCUGCGAGUGCCGUCCUCCCACCGUGCACCCAAGAGCUCUGGGCCCCAAGGCCCAGUCCCUACGGGGACACUCCCAGGAGGACGUGCACCCCUACUCAGGCCAUCACAGCGCCAGCAGCAGGCCGUGUGCACUUCGCCACAGCUCCCAGCGACGCCACAGCCUGGAUCCCGGCCGCCUGCUCGCCCCGUGGAUGCCCACCCGCCGCCGCGUCCCCGCCAGCAUCACGCAGAAGUCCCCGUCCUGUCCACAGAAGUCAAGCAUCUUCUUACACUUAGGAGCUUCUCACAUGUUUGGUCGCAUGUGUGCAGGGCGUGCGUUUCGGGGACUGGGGGUGGAAGGGGGUGCCACCCUGGGGGAGACGGGAGCUCGGUGGGACCACCCGGGAGGCCCAGGAUGGCAGGUGGGAGCCACACACACCCCCCGCGCCCACGAACAUGACCUGGUCAGCAGCCUAACAUCUGCGGAGAAUCUUUUCCACAAACACAUUUUUAAAACAUGAAUUGGAGGGACCCCCUGGGGGCUCAGCGGUCAAGGGUCUGCCUUCAGCUCGGGCGUGACCCCGGGUCCCAGGAUCGGGUCCCACGUCGGGCUCCCCACAGGGAGCCUGCUUCUCCCUCGG